rnacentral:rRNA from 1 species
GAUGAACGCUGGCGGCGUGCCUAAUACAUGCAAGUCGAGCGAACGGACGAGAAGCUUGCUUCUCUGAUGUUAGCGGCGGACGGGUGAGUAACACGUGGAUAACCUACCUAUAAGACUGGGAUAACUUCGGGAAACCGGAGCUAAUACCGGAUGAUAUUUUGAACCGCAUGGUUCAAAAGUGAAAGACGGUCUUGCUGUCACUUAUAGAUGGAUCCGCGCUGCAUUAGCUAGUUGGUAAGGUAACGGCUUACCCAGGCAACGAUGCAUAGCCGACCUGAGAGGGUGAUCGGCCACACUGGAACUGAGACACGGUCCAGACUCCUACGGGAGGCAGCAGUAGGGAAUCUUCCGCAAUGGGCGAAAGCCUGACCGAACCACGCCGCGUGAGUGAUGAAGGUCUUCCGAUCGUAAAACUCUGUUAUUUAGGAAGAACAUAUGUGUGAGUAACUGUGCACAUCUUGGACGGACCUAAUCCGAAAGGCACGGCUAACUACCUGCCCACAGCCCCGGGAAUACGUAAGUGGGCAGCGUUAUCCCGAAAUAUUGGGCGUAAAACGCGCGUAGCGGUUUUUUAGUCUGAUGUGAAAGCCCACGGCUCACCCUUGGAGGGUCAUUGGAAACUGGAAAACUUGAGUGCAGAAGAGGAAAGUGGAAUUCCAUGUGUAGCGGUGAAAUGCGCAGAGAUAUGGAGGAACACCAGUGGCGAAGGCGACUUUCUGGUCUGUAACUGACGCUGAUGUGCGAAAGCGUGGGGAUCAAACAGGAUUAGAUACCCUGGUAGUCCACGCCGUAAACGAUGAGUGCUAAGUGUUAGGGGGUUUCCGCCCCUUAGUGCUGCAGCUAACGCAUUAAGCACUCCGCCUGGGGAGUACGACCGCAAGGUUGAAACUCAAAGGAAUUGACGGGGACCCGCACAAGCGGUGGAGCAUGUGGUUUAAUUCGAAGCAACGCGAAGAACCUUACCAAAUCUUGACAUCCUUUGACAACUCUAGAGAUAGAGCCUUCCCCUUCGGGGGACAAAGUGACAGGUGGUGCAUGGUUGUCGUCAGCUCGUGUCGUGAGAUGUUGGGUUAAGUCCCGCAACGAGCGCAACCCUUAAGCUUAGUUGCCAUCACUAAGUUGGGCACUCUAAGUUGACUGCCGGUGACAAACCGGAGGAAGGUGGGGAUGACGUCAAAUCAUCAUGCCCCUUAUGAUUUGGGCUACACACGUGCUACAAUGGACAAUACAAAGGGCAGCGAAACCGCGAGGUCAAGCAAAUCCCAUAAAGUUGUUCUCAGUUCGGAUUGUAGUCUGCAACUCGACUACAUGAAGCUGGAAUCGCUAGUAAUCGUAGAUCAGCAUGCUACGGUGAAUACGUUCCCGGGUCU